rnacentral:rRNA from 1 species
UACGGAGGGAGCUAGCGUUGUUCGGAAUUACUGGGCGUAAAGCGUGCGCAGGCGGUUCGUUGUGUCGGCGGUGAAAGCCCCGGGCUUAACCUGGGAAUGGCCGCCGAAACUGGCGAACUGGAGUGUGGCAGAGGGGGGUGGAAUUCCGCGUGUAGCAGUGAAAUGCGUAGAGAUGCGGAGGAACACCGAUGGCGAAGGCAGCCCCCUGGGCUGACACUGACGCUCAGGCACGAAAGCGUGGGGAGCGAACAGG